UGGCGGACGGGUGAGUAAUGUCUGGGAAACUGCCUGAUGGAGGGGGAUAACUACUGGAAACGGUAGCUAAUACCGCAUAAUGUCGCAAGACCAAAGAGGGGGACCUUCGGGCCUCUUGCCAUCGGAUGUGCCCAGAUGGGAUUAGCUAGUAGGUGGGGUAACGGCUCACCUAGGCGACGAUCCCUAGCUGGUCUGAGAGGAUGACCAGCCACACUGGAACUGAGACACGGUCCAG
rnacentral:rRNA from 1 species